CCAGCCCUGCCUCUGUUAAAUCCCUGUGCAGAGCCGAGGGAUUUUCCCACGUCUUAUUCCCUCUGCGUCCUGCAAGGCGAACUUGCCCCCUUCCCUUCUUGCAUCGGGGGAGGGGGCUGCUUGCUUUAGCUCAGCCCCCUGAUCAGAAAACCCCCCCCCCGGCACAGAACCUGUCCACCGGUGCAAGGAGAGCCGCUGCUUUGCAUGACGCAGCCGCUGUGCGUGGGGAAGGGGCAGGGGGAGGAGAGGGUCCCUCUUCGCCUCUGCUGCCGGAGGAGCACUUCGGAGCUGAGCGAGCCUGAAGCCCGCGGCGGGCGCCUGCCUGGGACCGCACCCCAGCACGAGAGACUUGCAGCAGAUCUCUCUGCCCCACUCCUGUAAACAAACAAAGGUGAGAAUUCAUUUCAUCUGAAUUUUACCUGCCCUGUGAACAACGGCACCAUGGAUCUGGCGUACGAGUUGCCCAAUGUCACUGAGUUCUGGUUCUCUUCGGCCUCCCAGUUAGACAACUUCUCCACGGAGAUGUCUGCCAACGCCUCCCAGAACACUACGGGCCAGCAUUUUGACCUGACUAGCAAUGCCAUCCUUACCUUCAUCUACUUUGGGGUGUGCAUCAUAGGCCUGUGCGGCAACACACUGGUGAUCUAUGUCAUCCUCCGCUAUGCCAAGAUGAAGACCAUCACCAACAUCUACAUCCUGAACCUUGCCAUCGCAGAUGAGCUCUUCAUGCUGGGGCUGCCAUUCCUGGCCAUGCAGGUGGCUCUGGUCCACUGGCCCUUCGGCAGAGCCAUCUGCCGGAUCGUCAUGACUGUGGAUGGGAUCAACCAGUUCACUAGUAUCUUCUGCCUGACCGUCAUGAGCAUCGACAGGUACCUGGCUGUGGUCCACCCCAUCAAAUCUGCCAAGUGGAGAAGGCCAAGAACGGCCAAGAUGAUCAAUGUUGCCGUGUGGGGUGUUUCCCUUCUGGUCAUUAUGCCCAUCAUGAUUUAUGCUGGGAUCCAAAACAACCAUGGAAGGAGUAGCUGCACCAUAAUCUGGCCAGGCGAGUCUGGCGCAUGGUACACAGGGUUCAUCAUAUAUGCCUUCAUUCUGGGCUUCCUGGUGCCCCUCACCAUUAUCUGCCUUUGCUACUUGUUCAUCAUUAUCAAAGUCAAGUCCUCUGGGAUCAGAGUGGGCUCCUCCAAGAGGAAAAAGUCGGAGAAGAAAGUCACCAGGAUGGUCUCCACCGUAGUGGCAGUCUUCAUCUUCUGCUGGCUUCCCUUCUACAUAUUUAACGUCUCCUCCGUCUCCGUCUCCGAAUCCAUCACCCCCACGCCCUUCCUCAAGGGUAUGUUUGAUUUCGUUGUGGUCCUCACCUAUGCCAACAGCUGCGCCAACCCCAUCCUCUACGCCUUUUUGUCCGACAACUUCAAGAAGAGCUUUCAGAACGUUCUCUGCCUGGUGAAGGUCAGUGGCAUGGAUGAUGCCGACAGGAGCGACAGCAAGCAGGACAAAUCCAGGCUAAAUGAGACCACAGAAACUCAAAGGACUCUGCUUAAUGGUGACCUUCAGACAAGCAUCUGAGAGGACUCCAGGAUUGCCCUUUUCAGCUGUCCUCUUUCCUCCUCCUCCCCACUCCUUUAUAUGGCAGUAGCACACAGCAAGUCAGGUCAAGAGUACUUGGUCGUUGUUUGCUUGUCUUAGGGGAUGGUAAUGCAGGGAGGGGGGCCUGUGCCAAGAGUAGCCUCUUAGCGGAAGGCAGGUUGGUUUUGAAUAUUCAGACAGAUGCUGCUCAAAUGCAACUUCAUACAUGGAAAGACACAUACACACACACGAGGGCAGCACUUGGAGGCAUUUCUGCUAGACUUGGUUACACAUACCAACAUGCUCCAUACAGCAUGGGUCACAUAUGUCUAGACAGAGCUAUUCAUGGCUGUUUCUUUGCAAAGCAGUCGACCCAGCUGGAAAUGGGAGAGAGCAGUCUUAAGAAUCAGAGCACACACAGUGAGAUCCUCCACUAGGACAUGAAGAAUAUUUCAUUUUAUUACCCAACUAGUAAAAUUUUAUUUUUUUAAGACUGAAUCUCCUGAAGCUCCCCUAGUUUUACGAGAAUAUUACUGUAUUUAUUUACAAGGUGCUUUUCCUGCCACCGGAGAAGCAACAGAUCAGAAUGAAAGAAAUCACAUCGGAAGGAAAAUAUCCCGGCCCCAGUACAGUGUGUGUAUGUGUGUGAGGGUGGACAAAUAGGACUCAGACCUCCUAAGAGAUCUGGAACCCAAUUUCCAUUAAAAUUGAUGCCUCAGGGCAGCCUGGAAAAUCUCCGUUGAUAUACACACCUGUGCAGUCAGAUACACGGUGCUGGUAUAUAUGUGAGCAGUUAUAUUUGCGGUGGACUCACCUGACCUGGACUCUGCCCACCGGCCCAUCUAGCCAGUGCUACCUCUCACAUCCCAGACCUUCGAGCAGCUUCAAAUACAGCCACCUUCCCGCUUAAAUCAACUUGCCAUAAAAAAGCCUUUCUCCUCUCCCUCAUAUGUAUAAUGUUUCCCUUCUUUCACCUGAAAUGAACUAGAAACACUGCUCCAAAGGGCGGCAUGGGCCAUCUUCAGUCCUGAGCUAGUGGUGGCUUUCCCGUCGUCCCCCAGCCACUGCUUUUCUGUUGUUUUCCUCCAGGGGAAUGUGGCAGGGACUUUUAGCGAGUGCGUUGUCUGAGAGGCAUCAGAGACGAGCAACAGCAUCCUUCACAUGGAAAGCACCUGCACGUGUUCAAUCUGCAGCCACACAAGCCCAGAUUCGGCGUGCCGUUCAAUUCUAGCAUUCAUGAUGCUGUGGCGGAAACAGCUACCGGAACAUUGUCGAGCUGUGUGUUUGGUGUUGUUGCAUGCACACACGUGCACACAAAGGCUCUAGGGAAGCCACUGGCUCUCUCGCUGGCUGCUCAGCGAGGCCUUUUCCGCCCUCGUGCGUGUUCUGUUGAUGUUCCUGGGCUAGCAAGACUCCUGGGGUUGUAAAUUACAAGCCGCUGGCCAUCAGUUAUUACAAGGUGGAUGCUUUACUUUGCCGUUGGUCUGAGCGUGGACGUUUCUGACGCUGCAGACGUGGUCUAAAGAAGGUACCAAGGGAGAGGCUGAGGGACAUUUGACGACUCUGUCUAAAAUGUUGACAGAUGCCAGGCCUGACUGGGACGCUAUCUCCUGGGAGCUGGAUCCUGCUUCCUGUCCUGCUAGGUCACUCCUCAAGCAGCCCUAUGGAAAUCCACCCCUGGGAUGGAAUACAGAGCAAGCUAUUAAGUAAGGUGAGUGACAGUGGCAGGCUCUAGCUCGUAACUACAUGGAUGAAGAGAGAAGGAAAAUUCCCCUUGUGAAACAUUUGCCAUGGAGUACAGCCUCUGCCCCAGUUCAGCUCCGCAGCGAAGAUUCCAUUGCAAUAAGACUCAGAGUGUGAACGGCUCGGAGAAUGCUUCGAGCUAUAGGUGAACUUGUGCAUUGAAAUGAACUGAGGAGACAAAGAGUUGCGUGCCUCACUCCCAUAAAAGUGAUUUGGGCACCUAACACCCUUAAGCUCUUGGGAAGAUACCAGGCUGAACUGUUAUCUAGAUGACAGGUACCGGACCACUCACUGAUGUUCGUGAAGAAUGGUGUGUGUAUGAGAGGUAGGGGAAAACUGGAAUUUUGUUCCUCUCUCUCCCCUCAACCCCUAUCAAAAGCUAAAUUUCCAGCCUGCCCAAAACUAGACUCCCAUCCAUUUUAUUGUUGCUGAAUUAGUCAGGGAGAUAAACCACCACUCACCCGUCAGUUUAAUAGCUACAGAAUGCUGGGUGUCACAACCCUGGAGAAUAAGAAUGUCCAGUUAUAAUAAUUAGGGCUGGAAGUUUGUCGCAGCAUUGUUUAAAUCGAAAAUCAGGGAGCAAUCACGGUAAAUGUAGUAAGAGUCCUGGGCUUAGUGACUGCUCUGUGAUUUCCGAUAAAAAAGUGCCUUGAUAAAUGAGAGGGCACUGAGCACCCACAGCAGCACCUUCUGGCCUGGUACCGCCACUCUCAUCCUGGCUGGGUGAAGCAGGGGCAUGCCUGGAGGGUGAGCCUGCCCCUCACUCACCCCAGACAUGGAUAGAAUGUCAUGUUUGGCGAGAGGAAGGAAGGUGUCUGUGCCAAAUUUGAGUGAGCGGUGCUGCGACUCCAUGCGCCAGGUCGCAACACCCGGAGCAAUGAGUCAGGCCCAGCCCUGGGGGACACAGGAGCCAACACUGUUGGAUGGACUCUCUCCAGCCCCCCAUCCACCCAGGACCUCCCCUCCACACUGGGCUGGUGACCCACCUAAAGCCUUCCUGCAGGAAGUCACAGACAAAUGGAGAAAUCAUGGUAUCUAUGGUUUUUCUGCACUGUGACAAACCUGCUGCCCUAAUAAUGAUGCCCCCCCCCCCAAAAAAAGGAAGGGAGAUAAAAUCUCAGGCUUCAACCACUCUAUUAGGAUGAGACCUUCAUGGGGCGUGGUAUGGUUAUUAUCCCCCAGGUGCCUCAUGUGGGGCUUCUUGCACCUUCUCCCGAAGCAUCUGGCACUGGCAACUGUCAGUGGCAGGUUUCAGGGCUAGAUAGACCUUGGAUCUGAGCCAGUCUGCCAGUUCCUAGGGUAGCUCCCAAAAAAGUAUUGCAUGAAACAAGAAAAAUACAAAUUCAACCAGUUUUGCUAUAGAUGAUUACAACUGCAGGAAAUUCUGGCUUUUCAAAAUAAACACAUUUUUGGGCUGUUUUGGAGCAGCAGAGUGUGCCUGAGAUUUAAAAAAAAAAAAAAAAUCCAACAAAAAACUCUGAGAACGUUUUUUUCCUAUUAAACAUUUUUCAACCAGCUCUAAUCAUUAGAGAGAUUAUUGCAAUUGGACUGAUUUAGCACUGGGAAUGCCAUGACAUUUCCCAAGGCUCACCAGCAAGCAAAUGCUCAGAGAGUUACUGGUUCUGGAAGCCUGGAUGACCCAAACACACAGAGCACAGACUGGUUUGAAAUCUUUUCCUAAGAAGUUUUGAGCCUUGAGAACAAAAAGUUACUGGCCUUCAAGGAAAGAGAUGUCCAAGAGGCCAGUUCUCUGCAUCCUCGUUUAUCAGCCUUCAAGUGCUCCCGACAGGGGAAGGGUUCAGCUGGCACACAGCAUGGUAAAUGGGUAUGUUCAUCUCUGAGUGAAGCAAGGUAUAGUGUAACGAGAGCACAUUUAUGAAGAUUAAGCAGGCCCACGCAUGUCACUUGCAAGCAAGUGGUGCUAAGACUGCUUUUUGUCUACAAACUAUUGUAACAUUACAGUCAUGGGGAAGCUCAUCUGUUGGAAAAAGAGAGUGUGUGCCCCUGUGUGAAAGAGAGACAUAUUGUAUUACCAGGGAAAUGAAUAGAGAUAUUUACUGCAAUUGUAAAUACAUUGGCCUUCCUAGGACUCAUUGAAGAACAGCUAGUUCUGCAAUCAGAGAGUGCUGAUAAUAGAGUCGUGCUCUGGCCCAAUGCCUGUAAGAAGCCUUGGAGAGACUAAAGCCAGCGAAGUGAACCGACUGUCAAAAUCAGUCUAAGUUACAAAGUCUGGAUCAGAGCCAGAUCUGAAUGUCCGCAAGGUUCAGGAGAAGGUUGGUUUGUUCCAUUACAAGCCAGCUAUGAAAUUUUGGUCUGUCUUGACACUGCACCGAACUUUGGGGACUCUUUGGACCCUAAUAUCAUAGCAGGGGCAUCUCUCCAGAGGUCCUGUUCUUUCACCACACGACAAGCAUGGUCCAUUGGGUUCAAGUGGAGUUUGCUCUUUUCCCAUGGUGGGGGGGGGGAAUCAUUAGGAAACAGAGUGUUUCUACAGCAUGCUUCCUUCCUAUUCCCACUCCCUUACUCCACAAAAUCUGCUUCUUUCAGACCAUCACCCUAAAAACAAACAGGUAAUCUGUGAGCACGCAGCUGUGGGAAAGCACUUUGCAUACACAUUGUUACAGCAGGUAAUAUUCCUGGGGCAGACAGUACUACCUGCUAACGGGAUGCAUUCAUUUAACUAGAACAGGGGUAGGCAACCUAUGGCACGCGCGCCAAGGGCGGCGCACAAGGUGAUUUUCGGUGGCACUCACACGGCCCGGGUCCUGGCCACCGGUCUGGGGGGCUCUGCCUUUUAAUUUUAAAUGAAGCUUCUUAAACAUUUUUAAAAACCUUACUGACUUGACAUACAACAAUAGUUUAGUUAUAUAUUAUAGACUUCUAGAAAGACCUUCUAAAAACGUUACAAUGUAUUAGAGGCACACGAAAGCUUAAAUUAGGGUGAAUCAAUGAAGACUCGGUACACCGCUUCUGAAAGGCUGCUGAUCCCUGAACUAGAAUAUAUGUGCAUUAGCUCGAGAGGUUCCUUCCAGGCAGACUCAUAUAUAUGAAAUCUGACACGUCAGACACCUUUCUGCUUCAAUCAGGAGGUGUUAACCUUUUGUAACAAGGUAUAAUCCGAUAACUGUCCUGGGAAGCUCUUGCAAACCGAGCAAUUAUUAGAGCAGGCUGGUUUCAUUGUGUCUUUGCAGCAUUUCAGAUGUUCUCAUCCUAUUCAAAUAUUUCUGUGUUGCAGUUCUUGAAAAACGUGGUUCGGGGGUGGGAAAUUCUUGUUUGGGAAAAAAGGACAAAAAUAAACUAACACACACCCAGGUACUUUAUGCUCAAACAAGGCAAUAUUUGCUCAUACCUGAGAGCAAUAUAUUGUUGUAAAGCUGUUGCUUUAACAAUUGUUCUGUUGAAAGCCUUUUUUAGCAUGGCAAACUUUAUCCUAUUGUGCAAGUGCAUAUUUGGCAGUGUUCAUAGUGUACAUAUUUACAGAGGAUAGAGUUAAAUCCAAAGUUGUAACUCUUGCUUUCCUUGAUCAGAUUGGUUAUUUGAGAUACAGAAGGGGAUACUUUGUAUUUAGAGAGAGAAAAAAAGAAAAAAAAAAGACAGACAGAAAGAAAGAAACCCUGCUUCAGUUGUCCAUUUUAGCAUAUCUUUUCCUUUUAAUUCACUGUACAAUUUUGGAAGUGACUGUGUUAGAUACGGAUUUGAUACGUAACCAUGUCUCCUUCUAGUGUUUAGCCCCAGCAGUUAUAACAGCUGGUUACUUAUUGCUAAAAGACAUGUUCGUUCUUCUUGGUGCUCAAAGUACUGGGUUCCAGUCUCCAUUAACUGCUGAAGUAUCUGCAUGUAAUGAAACAUACAUGCAGUGUGCUAUUGUUUUAAUAGUGGUGUGGAUUUACUGGCCUGCAUAAGUCAAAGUCCUUUAAUUUAUUAAAUUUAUAAACACCAGAAACAAGUGGUCUAGAAACAGAGUAAUACAUGGAAAUAAUAAACAGACACCACCCAGAGGGUCCAAGUUCAGUUCUAAGCUUGCUGGCUGGCAAACCAGGCUUACCCCUGUAUGAUGGGCAACCUAGGUUUUCAGUUUCACUCUGUUUACAAAAGCACAGAUGUUCCAGCUACUAAGCAAAUAGUGCAUAAAUUGAGAAUGAAGGAAGGAAUACCAGGCCUAGUACCUGAGCCCAAAUAAUUUUGGAAUGGUUUGAUUAUGGGCCACAGGUAACAUAUCUCCAAGCACAUAGUAAGUAACUGGAUAAAUUCAUGGAGGUUAAGUCCAUUAAUAGCUAUUAGCCAGGAUGGGUAAGGAACGGUGUCCCUAGUCUCUGUUUGUCAGAGGGUGGAAAUGGAUGGCAGGUGAGAUAUCACUUAUGUUCUUAUGUAGUCCCAGCCGUUUCAUAGACUAUCAGGAUUGGAAGGCACCUCAGGAGGUCAUCUAGUCCAACCCCCUGCUCAAAGCAGGGCCAAUCUCCAAUUUUUGCCCCAGAUCCCUAAAUGGCCCCCCUUAAGGAUUGAGCUCACAACCCUGGGUUUAGCAGGCCAAUGCUCAAACCACUGAGUUAUCCCUUCCGCUUUUGCCAUGGGACAGGGGUCAGAGUCCGGAGGCUGCAGGAUACUAGAUACCAUUGGUGUUAAACUUGUACCACUCAAGUUGCAAAUUCAUCCUGAAACCUUCCACUGGGGACACAAGGGAGGUUAAUUGGCUUGCUGAGCAUCCACAGGCUGCUAGGACUGUUUUGUACCUAGGGCAAAUGGCCUUCAAGCAACAACUGACCAAAGACAGGAGGGGAAACACACAGUGGACUUCCAGUGCCUCCUAACCUUCAGAUCCCUGUUUCUGGAAUGGCGCCGAGUUAGAAUACUGUACUUUGAGAUGCCUUUCCCAUUUUCCCCAGCCCAUCACAGCUGGCUUAGCUUUAAGGGAGAUUCUGUGCAUUUCAUGUAUGAAGGAUUAGAUCCAAUCAUCCAACCUUGCCCUAAACUGAGCAGAGCAUUCAGAGCCCACUGCACUACCAGGAGGAAUUUAAGGUGCCCAUAAGUGGAGCAAGAGUGGCAUCUUCAGGACAGUGAGAUGAACUAUCCAGGAUGGGAAGUUAACAGCUGGAAGGGCUCCCCCCAGAGCAGAUUUCACACGUUCACUUCCUGCAGGAGCAGAGGAGUACUGUUAACAUCACCUGUUCCUUUAGCUGGUGCUUGGAACAUGUAUGAUCACAUACGGUCUCAAUUAGAAAACAAAACUAACACCUUCAAAAGAGGAGCCUGGGAACUUCAAUUCAUAACUCUACUGGACACUAAAAACCACAGACAUAACAGAGAUGCUGGCUGUAUGGCUUAUUACAACAAUUUGUAACA